GGCCAUAUAGUGUAGUUGGUUAGCACAUGGGAUUCUGACUCUGUGUGGAGUUCCCAUAACCCAGGUUCGAGUCCUGGUAUGGCCU